CCUACGGGGGGCAGCAGUGGGGAAUAUUGCACAAUGGGGGAAACCCUGAUGCAGCGACGCCGCGUGAAGGAAGAAGGUUUUCGGAUCGUAAACUUCUAUCAGCAGGGAAGAAGAAAGUGACAGUAACUGACUAAGAAGCCCCGGCUAACUACGUGCCAGCAGCCGCGGUAAUACGUAGGGGGCAAGCGUUAUCCGGAAUCACUGGGGGUAAAGGGUGCGUAGGCGGUAGGGUAAGUCCGAUGUGAAAGCCCGAGGCUCCACCCCGGGAUUGCAUUUGAAACUGUCUUACUAUAGUGCAGGAGAGGAAAGCGGAAUUCCUAGUGUAGCGGUGAAAUGCGUAGAUAUUAGGAAGAACACCAGUGGCGAAGGCGGCUUUCUGGACUGUAACUGACGCUGAGGAACGAAAGAGUGGGGAGCGAACAGAAUUAGAUAACCAAGUAGUC
rnacentral:rRNA from 1 species